GAUGAACGCUGGCGGCGUGCCUAAUACAUGCAAGUCGAGCGAACAGACGAGGAGCUUGCUCCUCUGACGUUAGCGGCGGACGGGUGAGUAAAACGUGGAUAACCUACCUAUAAGACUGGGAUAACUUCGGGAAACCGGAGCUAAUACCGGAUAACAUGUUGAACCGCAUGGUUCAACAGUGAAAGACGGUCUUGCUGUCACUUGUAGAUGGAUCCGCGCCGCAUUAGCUAGUUGGUAAGGUAACGGCUUACCAAGGCAACGAUGCGUAGCCGACCUGAGCGGGUGGUCGGCCACACUGGGACUGAGGAACGGUCCAGACUCCUACGGGGGGCAGCAGUAGGGAAUCUUCCGGAAUGGGGGGAAGCCUGACGGGGCAACGCCGCGGGGGUGGAGAAGGUCUUCGGAUCGUUAAACUCUGUUAUUAGGGAAGAACAAAUGUGUAAGUAACUAUGCACGUCCUGACGGUACCUAAUCAGAAAGCCACGGCUAACUACGUG
rnacentral:rRNA from 1 species